CAAAAUCUGAGUUUGAUCCUGGCUCAGAAGGAACGCUAGCUAUCUGCUUAACACAUGCAAGUCGAACGUUGUUUUCGGGGAGCUGGGCAGAAGAAAAAGAGACUCCUAGCUAAAGUUGUCUCGCCCUGCUUCAAAACUACAGGGCGCGCGCUACGGCUUUGACCUAACGGCCUCCGUUUGCUGGAAUCGGAAUAGUUGAGAACAAAGUGGCGAACGGGUGCGUAACGCGUGGGAAUCUGCCGAACAGUUCGGGCCAAAUCCUGAAGAAAGCUCAAAAGC
rnacentral:ncRNA from 1 species